rnacentral:rRNA from 1 species
UACGUAGGCAGCAAGCGUUGUUCGGAGUUACUGGGCGUAAAGGGUGCGUAGGCGGCUUCUUAAGUCUGGUGUGAAAUCUCCCGGCUCAACUGGGAGGGUGCGCCGGAUACUGAGGGGCUAGAGUGUGGGAGAGGAAAGUGGAAUUCCUGGUGUAGCGGUGAAAUGCGUAGAUAUCACUUGGAACGCCAAUGGUGAAAACAGCUCGCUGGGGGUGCACUGACACUGAGACACGAAAGCCAGGGGAGCGAACGGG